CGCGAAGAACCUUACCUGGUCUUGACAUCCACAGAACUUUCCAGAGAUGGAUUGGUGCCUCCGGGAACUGUGAGACAGGUGCUGCAUGGCUGUCGUCAGCUCGUGUUGUGAAAUGUUGGGUUAAGUCCCGCAACGAGCGCAACCCUUAUCCUUUGUUGCCAGCGGUCCGGCCGGGAACUCAAAGGAGACUGCCAGUGAUAAACUGGAGGAAGGUGGGGAUGACGUCAAGUCAUCAUGGCCCUUACGACCAGGGCUACACACGUGCUACAAUGGCGCAUACAAAGAGAAGCGACCUCGCGAGAGCAAGCGGACCUCAUAAAGUGCGUCGUAGUCCGGAUUGGAGUCUGCAACUCGACUCCAUGAAGUCGGAAUCGCUAGUAAUCGUGGAUCAGAAUGCCACGGUGAAUACGUUCCCGGGUCUUGUACACACC
rnacentral:rRNA from 1 species